UACACGACCGUACCGCAAACCGACACUGGUGCGCGAGAUGAGUAUUCUAAGGCGCUUGAGAGAACUCAGGAGAAGGAACUCGGCAAAUUGACACCGUAACUUCGGAAGAAGGUGUGCCUUUAGUAGGUGAAGGGAUUUACUCCCGGAGCCCAAUGAGGUUGCAAAAAAUCGGUGGCUGCGACUGUUUAAUAAAAACACAGCACUCUGCAAACACGAAAGUGGACGUAUAGGGUGUGACGCCUGCCCGGUGCUGGAAGAUUAAAUGAUGGGGUGCAAGCUCUUGAUUGAAGUCCCAGUAAACGGCGGCCGUAACAAUAACGGUCCUAAGGUAGCGAAAUUCCUUGUCGGGUAAGUUCCGACCUGCACGAAUGGCGUAACGAUGGCCACACUGUCUCCUCCUGAGACUCAGCGAAGUUGAAAUGUUUGUGAUGAUGCAAUCUCCCCGCGGAAAGACGGAAAGACCCCAUGAACCUUUACUGUAGCUUUGUAUUGGACUUUGAACAGAUCUGUGUAGGAUAGGUGGGAGGCUUUGAAGCAGGGUCGCUAGAUCUUGUGGAGCCAACGUUGAAAUACCACCCUGGUGUGUUUGAGGUUCUAACCUAGGUCCAUUAUCUGGAUCGGGGACAGUGCAUGGUAGGCAGUUUGACUGGGGCGGUCUCCUCCCAAAGCGUAACGGAGGAGUUCGAAGGUACGCUAGGUACGGUCGGACAUCGUGCUAAUAGUGCAAUGGCAUAAGCGUGCUUAACUGCGAGACUGACAAGUCGAGCAGAUGCGAAAGCAGGACAUAGUGAUCCGGUGGUUCUGUAUGGAAGGGCCAUCGCUCAACGGAUAAAAGGUACUCUGGGGAUAACAGGCUGAUACCGCCCAAGAGUUCAUAUCGACGGCGGUGUUUGGCACCUCGAUGUCGGCUCAUCUCAUCCUGGGGCUGUAGCCGGUCCCAAGGGUAUGGCUGUUCGCCAUUUAAAGAGGUACGUGAGCUGGGUUUAAAACGUCGUGAGACAGUUUGGUCCCUAUCUUCCGUGGGCGCUGCAGAUUUGAGGAAGCCUGCUCCUAGUACGAGAGGACCGGAGUGGACACACCUCUGGUGUAUCGGUUGUCACGCCAGUGGCAUUGCCGAGUAGCUAAGUGUGGAAGAGAUAACCGCUGAAAGCAUCUAAGCGGGAAACUCGUUUCAAGAUGAGAUCUGCCGGGGCCUUGAGCCCCCUAAGGAGUCGUUCAAGACCAGGACGUUGAUAGGUCAGGUGUGGAAGCGCAGUAAUGCGUUAAGCUAACUGAUACUAAUUGCUCGUGCGGCUUGACC
rnacentral:rRNA from 1 species